GUUAAUUAGUGAUCAAAUCACUAAUUAAAUCUCUCAUAAAUACUGAGUCCAAAUCCGAUGGGCAAUCAGACAUCAGAAUUCAUCGAUAUGUAAACCUGAUCGAAAAAUCCCAACCAGUGGGACUCUUGACCCCGAUACCCAUAAUGUGUGGAACUCAUGAUCAGAGAAUCCUGAUUCUCGAUCACUGAGUCUCAAACAUGUAGGAUUCUAUAUCAGCCAUCAGAUCAGAUAAGAACCUCUAAUGUGUGUGACCUCGUAGGUUCGAACCUAAGCCGGUAGCACAGGAACUAAUUCCUGUACUAAUCGAAGUGACCAUCUAGCAAUGGUACCCGAUGAUCAGAUAGAUCGAAUGAUUACAAUUGCAAUACUCAGAACCUAUGUGAAUAUGGUUAUUGUAUAAUUCAUCCUUUUGACCUUUGUGUUUAGGAUGACUCAGGGUUAAACUAUCAACCCUGAUCAGAUCAUCCGAAUCAUGCUCAACUCAAACAGUCCUGUGACUCCUCACAAGGACUACCCUGGCCAAGGUUUUGCUAAAUUGAAACACGACUGUACACAGCUCCUAAACUGGAGUGGUCAAUCCCAUCCUGACACACGCACCGAUAAGUUAAGUACUUGACUACACCCAGCAGCCUUUCGUCACUGAAUUAAAAAUUCAGGUAGUCUAGUGCCUAAGUGCAGUGAGUUGCUUGCAAGUCACCGUGGCGGUCUCAGGUCGGAGGGAUAUUUUUACCCAUAUUCCAUCAGAGCAAAUCUUGACAAUAGAAAUAGCUCCGGAGUCGGUCACGUUCAGUGUAGAUGUACCCUUACAUCUCACCUGUAUGCCAUACCAGUGUCUCCAUACUCAUUGGUUAAGAGGACAACCAACCUAUAUGGCACACAAUGACCUAUGCUUGAUAAACAUUGUCAUCCUUGGUAACAACGUAUCAUUUGGUCACGAACAGAUUUAAGGACUAAACGAUAAAUCCUCUUUUGUCGAGUCUAAAUAGUCCUAAGGACUUCACCACAACAUAGGAGUUCAUUAGAAGAUGAAAUAUUUUGUGAUGAAAAAUAUCAAAAUAAUUUUUAUUAAUUUAUAAUUCAUGUACAAAUAUAAAAAUGAGCACAACCAUCAAUAGGCUGAC
rnacentral:lncRNA from 1 species